GUGGACCUGCGCUGGGUCCUCCGGUGCGCACGUGAGACGGGAUCCAGAACCCACUGAAAGCCCGCAGAGUCCCGAAGUGCAGACCGUGGGGGACCUCAGGAGCGGAAUCGUCCCCGCAGCCCCCUCCGCAUUCCCAACAAGGCCCGAUCUAGUAGGAACCGUGUCUAAAGGGACCAAUUGUAAAAUACAUCUGGUCUUUCCUCCAGCGGUCAUGGUUACUCACCGGAAUGAGCACUCACUGCGCUACCCUCGACCUCUGCGACUGACAGACUGCAGAGACUUGCUGACCACCACCUUAAGCCAGUGACACUGCAGGCACCUCCCCAAAGACUGCAGGGUGCUCCCGAUCUGCAGAGGGAGUUCCAGACUUCAGUCCCAAGCCAUCAUGGACACCUUUUGCACCGGUUUAAUGAAGAAAGCGAAGCCCGAGAAAACACGUGAGCGGAGAGUGCUGGGUACCCUGCUGUGUGCACUUUAGCCCACACUAUGCCUGGCUCCCCAGCCAGCAUGGAAAAAAAAAACCGCUGAGAGCGAGCAUGGGCCUUCCUAGCCACACACAGAGAGGGUCAGGCACAGCCAGAGAAUGUAAGCAGCAAAGACAGACAUUUCUGUGUAUUCACAGCCCAGGAUGAGAAUUUGCAUCUCUAGCACCAUGUAAAGGCCAGAUUCCUUCUCUCUUUUUUAUUCCUGCUUUGGAAUUGCUGCAACCUCCCUCCCCUUAACAGUUGCUAUUGAAUCUGGGGCAUCAUACAUUUAAGGUAAGCAUGUACUACUGAGCCCCAGCUUCAGAGGUACCCGAGAAACAGAAGUCUUACUCAUUGUUGGGGGAUAUUCUUCUAUUAUUUCCCUCUUUGCUGAGAUAUGUUCAUGGGUGGAUCCCUCCUGUUCAGACCUCUACUCAAGUGUCCCUUUAGCUCAUGGCUUCCUCUGUCACCUGGUCUGAAACCGUGUCUGAGCUGCUCUCUGAUCUCUGGCCUUGGUUCAUUUUAUUUCACAGUUCUGUUUUUAUUUUUAUUUUUUACUCAUGUAUUAUUGUCUAUCUCUCCCACAAGCCAACGAGCUCGUUGAGAUCAUGGAUUUGGACCAGAGCUAGAGAUCUUGCCUACCUUGUACUAGGGCCUGGGUUUGCUCUCCCAGCGCAGCACAUGCGUGCGCACACAUAUGCAUAGAUUAUAAAAUAAAGGAUGUGUAUCGUGUAUUGGCAUUCUCUCAGUUAACUUAGCUUCAUCUCCUCUCCCAUGCACGUGACCCAGCUCCAGAUGCACCCCAAGACCUGCAGCACCCCGGCUGCUGGCAAUGAGGCUCCCGUCCUGCUGGCAUCCCAGCAAGCUUCUUCCCACAGAGGCAGACUCUGAAGCAAUGCAGGAGGUCGGUGCUAUCCUAUGGCCAGGGGCAUAAGAGUCCCUAGGAGAAGCUAGAGCCAUCAGGACAGGAGUGAACUGCUGUCUGGGUAAAUUGUGACACACCAUGAAAAUUCAGGGUCUGCCUGAGGACUCACACAGCAAUGACAUGGAGUUGACAGGAGAAGAAUCCUGAGCCCAGGCCUGCUUGACCUACUGGGAAGGAGCUGAAGUUCUGAUUAGAGGUGAAGAUGGAUCCAAAUGCCACCCUCCCGAGCUAUAUCACAUGGGCCUCACUUGGUGACAGGGAGUCAAAUCUCAGGCUGAAGUUCUGACCCAUGGUGUCUAGGUCACCUGCUCUCUAAGCCUAUUGGAGCGAAGUGCUGCCAUCUUCAUCAAAUCAGCCGUGCCAGUCUGCAAAAGAUCACCACAGUUGGGCUUGUUGCCUCAGAAGGGCUGAGGGUCAUGGGACCCUUGCCAGGCAGACCUCCCAGCCAGUGGCCUGGGAAGGGCUGGAGUAAAUGAAGGCGGAGAAGGACUGGGGGAGGGUCUCCAUCCACAUAGCCAUUUGGGAAUUUAUCAGCCCUGAUGGACACAGACCUUUAGCAUUGAAUACACCUAAUAGACACCUUUAAGCUGGCUGCUUUAAGGUCACCCAUGAUCCUGCCUGUAACCUCGUAUCCACAGUCUGUAAGGAAGCCAAAUAAACUCCUUGAAUCUCUGG